rnacentral:tRNA from 1 species
UCCGUUGUGGUCUAGUGGAUAUGAUAUUGCGCUUUCACCGCAAGGAUCGGGGUUCGAUUCCCCGCAACGGAA